CAGCAGCCGCGGUAAUACAGAGGAUGCAAGCGUUAUCCGGAAUGAUUGGGCGUAAAGCGUCUGUAGGUGGCUUUUCAAGUCCGCCGUCAAAUCCCAGGGCUCAACCCUGGACAGGCGGUGGAAACUACCAAGCUGGAGUACGGUAGGGGCAGAGGGAAUUUCCGGUGGAGCGGUGAAAUGCGUAGAUAUUAGGAAGAACACCAGUGGCGAAGGCGACUUUCUGGACGAAAACUGACGCUGAGGCGCGAAAGCCAGGGGAGCGAACGGGAUUAGAUACCCCCGUAGUCCCUGUCUCUUAUAC
rnacentral:rRNA from 1 species